UGCACCCUCUUGUCAUCAGCCUCAGGGAGCGAAGAUCGCUCCAUGUCUGAUGAUUCACGAUACAGGAGCCGGAGUAUCAUGACAUCAUGGCUCCACACCCGCAAUGCAAGCCUCCCGUACACUGUAUAGGGCCAUUUGUGUCUGGGUGAACCCAGCUCGUCCAUCCAACUGUCUGCCCAGCCAAUAUUUCCUUGCUGGUUAUUCCAGUUUAACUGCUUCAUGCAUGUGGGAUCCGGGAGGUUGAAAGGCUGCUAUCCCACUCAAAGUGAAGCUAGAGGUCUAUACAUUUGUCUGGUGAAUGGUCAGUCGACUCAGAAGUACCCAUCUGCUUAGCAGAAAAUAAAGAAGUGCACUUGGUUGUUCUAUAUAUAAGUAGCUCAUCUGUCUAUAUAUGUCACUCUGGAUGUAUACUUCAGGCCUGACGUGCAGGUAGUAGGCAGGCCUGUAGAAGCACAAUCAAGUGUGAAACGGCUGUCUCCUCUACACACUGCACAGGGCACUGAGGCAUCUCACCCAUGGACGAGUGAACAGAAAGUUUGCAUUGUUUCACCGCCUACAUUUUAAAGAAUAAAGCAAGUAUUUUCUACAAUGGGGAAGGGCUACUAUAUUAUACUGGCAUAGCAUUGCUCAAAGAAAAGUGUGCUCUGCUCAACAGAUACAGACUCUAUUAGAAGAUUGCCCAGAGCCAGCACAGAGGUAAUCAGGGGAACAGCUGGCAUUGAAACUGAUCAGACAGCCACAUGUACAGAUGUGGA